rnacentral:rRNA from 1 species
UAAAAGUGGGGAACUAACCUGAGGGUGGGGGUCGNCCUUAGGAAUUGUNGGUNANACCGGAAAAUGGNGGUAGUAUUAGGGGUUAGUGAAGAAAGGGGCUNCGGCUUCGCCUUAGGAAGGGCUCGCGUCCCAUUAGCUAGUUGGUNGGGUAAAGGCUGACCAAGGCUAUGAUGGGUAUCCGGCCUNAGAGGGUGAACGGACACAUUGGGACUGAGAUACGGCCCAGACUCCUACGGGAGGCAGCAGCUAAGAAUAUUCCGCAAUGGGCGAAAGCCUGACGGAGCGACGCCGCGUGGGUGAGGAAGGCCGAAAGGUUGUAAAGCCCUUUUGAACCUGAAGAAUAAGUANGGGAGGGAAUGCCCCUAUGNUGACGGUAGGGUAUGAAUAAG